rnacentral:rRNA from 1 species
GACUAACGCUGGCGGCGUGCCUAACACAUGCAAGUCGAGCGAUGAAGCUCCUUCGGGAGUGGAUUAGCGGCGGACGGGUGAGUAACACGUGGGUAACCUGCCUCAUAGAGAGGGAUAGCCUUCCGAAAGGAAGAUUAAUACCUCAUAAGAUUGUAGUUUCGCAUGAAACGGCAAUAAAAGGAGCAAUCCGCUAUGAGAUGGACCCGCGUCGCAUUAGCUAGUUGGUAAGGUAAUGGCUUACCAAGGCGACGAUGCGUAGCCGACCUGAGAGGGUGAUCGGCCACAUUGGGACUGAGACACGGCCCAGACUCCUACGGGAGGCAGCAGUGGGGAAUAUUGCACAAUGGGGGAAACCCUGAUGCAGCAACGCCGCGUGAGUGAUGACGGUCUUCGGAUUGUAAAACUCUGUCUUUGGGGACGAUAAUGACGGUACCCAAGGAGGAAGCCACGGCUAACUACGUGCCAGCCGCCGCAGUAACAC